UACGAAGGGGGCUAGCGUUGCUCGGAAUUACUGGGCGUAAAGGGCGCGUAGGCGGACAGCUUAGUCAGAGGUGAAAGCCCAGGGCUCAACCUUGGAAUUGCCUUUGAUACUGACUGUCUUGAGUUCGGGAGAGGUGAGUGGAAUGCCGAGUGUAGAGGUGAAAUUCGUAGAUAUUCGGCGGAACACCAGUGGCGAAGGCGACUCACUGGCCCGAUACUGACGCUGAGGCGCGAAAGCGUGGGGAGCAAACAGG
rnacentral:rRNA from 1 species